ensembl:snRNA U6 U6 spliceosomal RNA
AUGUUCCACAGCAUAUGUAACAAAACUGAAACAUGGAGAUUAGCACGACCCCUGUGCAAGAAUGACAAGCAAAUUUGUGAGGCAUUUGGUAUUUUU